rnacentral:rRNA from 1 species
AUUGAACGCUGGCGGCAUGCUUUACACAUGCAAGUCGAACGGCAGCACGGGUGCUUGCACCUGGUGGCGAGUGGCGAACGGGUGAGUAAUGUAUCGGAACGUACCCGGCAAUGGGGGAUAACGUAGCGAAAGUUACGCUAAUACCGCAUAUGCCCUGAGGGGGAAAGUGGGGGAUCGCAAGACCUCACGUUGUCGGAGCGGCCGAUAUCAGAUUAGCUAGUUGGUGGGGUAAGGGCCUACCAAGGCGACGAUCUGUAGCUGGUCUGAGAGGACGACCAGCCACACUGGGACUGAGACACGGCCCAGACUCCUACGGGAGGCAGCAGUGGGGAAUUUUGGACAAUGGGGGCAACCCUGAUCCAGCCAUGCCGCGUGAGUGAAGAAGGCCUUCGGGUUGUAAAGCUCUUUCGGACAGAAAGAAAUCGCCACUUCUAAUAAAGGUGGUGGGUGACGGUACUGUAAGAAGAAGCACCGGCUAACUACGUGCCAGCCGCCGCCGUAA